CUGGAGAGGCCAGGCCCAGGGGGGCACCCGCUGGGAGCUCCGGUUGCCCCCCUUCUGUCCCCGCAGGGGAGGAGGAGUUGCCGGGGCUGAAGUGCCAGGUCACCGAGCUGCACGACGUGCUGAUGAAGGACGUGGGUGACCGCAUCCGCGCCGACGGCCGGUGGCCUCUUGUCAUCGACCCCUCAGGCCAGGCGGCCGCUUUCCUGCGCUACCAGGACACCAACUACGUGGACACGGUGAACCCAGACCACAUGCGGCCCGAGAGGAUUCGGUUGGCGCUUCUGGGGGCGCUCAGGUGAGGCGGUGGGAGCUGGGGCACACGGGGUCCGCCCCGUCCCCUGAGGCCCACAGACGGGCCGGAGUACGGCCCCACCCAGUUCCAGGAGUCCCGCCUGGAGCAGUUCCGCCUCUUCUUUGUCACCCAGGUUCAGUGGCCCCCGGCUGAGCAGUUGCAGGUCCUGCUCCCGGUGCAGGUCCAGCUGCCCAGCGGAGGCCUUUAGCACCAAUAAAGCAAAGCCCGGGA